GGGAAACACUAGGGAUGGUGCGUGGUGGCUGCGCACAGUCAGUGACUGAAGGGUUUGGAGGUAGAAGAGCGAACAGGGAUGAAGAGAGUGAGGUGAAGAUUGAGGGGGUAAGAGGUUAGGGAUUCUUCAGAAAUGUGUUCACAUAGGAAAGUGGAAGAAAGGGGGAAAACCGUGUUGUGUUAUAGAUAUUUUGUAAUUUUGAACCCUUAGGGGCGGUUGAAAGCGACGCUAACGAUAAAUCAACCGCCGCUAAGUGGAAACCCUGAAUCCUAGUUUAAGACGAUAGCGGCGGUUGAACGAGCCGCUGCUAAAAAACCGCCGCUAAAUUCCGAAUUUUUUAUAGUGAAAGCUCCAGAGGAAGCUGAGCCAGAGGAAGACUCUCCAGAGGAAGUUGGUCCCUCUGAUUCACAACCUCAGAGGAAGAGCAGAAUUGUUGCCUCUCACCCUAAGGAGUUGAUUCUGGGAAAUAAAGAUGAACCCGUCAGAACCAGAUCAGCAUUCAGACCCUCUGAAGAGACCCUACUUAGUCUUAAGGGAUUGGUAUCCUUAAUUGAACCAAAAUCAAUCGAUGAAGCUCACAAAGACUGGAUUCUGGCAAUGGAAGAAUAAUUGAAUCAAUUCUCCAAGAAUGAUGUUUCGAACCUUGUCAAGAAACCUCAAGGUGCUCACAUCAUUGGAACCAAAUGGGUUUUCAGAAACAAGCUGAAUGAAAAAGGAGAUGUAGUCAGAAACAAAGCAAGGCUAGUUGCUCAAGGCUACAGUCAGCAAGAAGGAAUAGAUUAUACUGAAACAUUUGCUCCAAUAGCAAGAUUGGAAGCUAUCAGGCUGCUGAUCUCAUUCUCAGUGAAUCACAACAUAAUUCUUCAUCAGAUGGAUGUUAAGAGUGCCUUCCUGAAUGGAUACAUCUCAGAGAAAGUGUAUGUGCACCAACCUCCUGGUUUUGAAGAUGAGAAGAACCCUGACCAUGUUUUCAAAUUGAAGAAAUCUCUCUAUGGUCUGAAGCAAGCUCCCAGAGCAUGGUAUGAGAGACUUAGCUCAUUCCUUCUGGAAAAUGAGUUUGUAAGGGGUAAAGUAGAUACAACUCUCUUUUGCAAAACUUACAAAGAUGAUAUUAUAUUUGGAUCUGCUAAUCCAUCUCUUUGCAAAGAAUUUUCUGAGAUGAUGCCGGGUGAAUUUGAAAUGAGUAUGAUGGGAGAACUCAAGUACUUUCUGGGAAUACAAGUUGAUCAAAAACCAGAAGCUACUUACAUUCAUCAGAGGAAGUACACAAAGGAACUUCUGAAGAAGUUCAAUAUGACAGAAUCAAUAAUUGCUAAGACUCCUAUGCAUCCUACAUGCAUUCUGGAAAAAGAAGAUGUCAGUGGAAAAUUAUGUCAGAAGCUCUAUCGUGGAAUGAUAGGUUCACUUCUAUACUUAACUGCAUCUAGGCCAGAUAUUCUGUUUAGUGUACAUUUAUGUGCUUGAUUCCAAUCAGAUCCUAGAGAAACUCACUUAACUGUUGUUAAGAGAAUUCUCAGAUAUCUGAAAGGUACCACUAACCUUGGCUUGAUGUAUAAGAAAACAUCAGAGUAUAAGCUUUCAGGUUAUUGUGAUGCUGAUUAUGCUGGAGAUAGAACUGAAAGAAAAAGUACUUCUGGAAAUUGUCAAUUUCUGGGAAGUAACUUAGUCUCAUGGGCAAGCAAGAGGCAAUCUACUAUUGCACUAUACACUGCAGAGGCAGAAUAUAUCUCAGCAGCUAUUUGCAGCACUCAGAUGCUCUGGAUGAAACAUCAGCUAGAGGAUUAUCAAAUCUUUGAGAUCAACAUUCCAAUUUAUUGUGAUAAUACUGCUGCAAUCUCACUCAGUAAGAAUCCAAUCUUACACUCAAGGGCAAAACACAUUGAGGUAAAGUAUCACUUUAUUAGAGAUUAUAUUCAGAAGGGCGCACUUCUUCUGAAGUUUAUUGAUACUGACCAUCAAUGGGCAGAUAUCUUUACAAAGCCCUUAGCAGAGGAUAGAUUUAAAUUUAUACUGAAAAAUCUGAAUAUGGACUUUUGUCCAGUAUGAAGAUGGAUCAGAACCUCGGACUAUGAUGCUGUAUCAUCAGAAGAUGUCUAGUUUAGAAGGUAGCUUAGUCAGAAGCUGAGUACCCAUUGGUGCUUACUCUGAGACAAGACAGUAAACGUGUGUCAGUUCAUUCUGAUGCGUUGUUCCUUAUGCCUUUCGAAUAAUCUGUUGUAAUGAGUGUAGUUGUGCUUAUUCUCCACCGUGUGUUUUGUGUAUUAACUGUUCAUAAUGAUAUCUUUAAUUUUCAACCGUUGAUUUUACUUUUGUUUUACAAUCAACAACGGUUACUUUCUAAAAACCACUACACACACACGUUCUCCAUCACUUGUGUUAUUUUCUUCUCUCUCCUGUUUGCAAAAAACCCUUACCUUCCUCAAUUCUCUCUAUCUCUCAUUCAUCCCUCUUCUUCCCAAACCUCCAACCUUCAACAAUGGUGAGAUCUGAAAGAGCUGAUUCCGGUGAAAGGUCUGAUUCCGCCGAUGGAAGAGUGUUUCCAAGAAUGGUUGUGGGUCUUCCAACAGGGCAAGUAGGUUCUGUUCUGCGUCCCAGAUCGACAGAGGGUGCUCAAGCACAAAUCCAAGAUGCUGAGGAUGUUAUUCCUUUGUCCCAAAGAAGUUGUGCAGUUACAUGCGUCUUUCCUCCAGAAGAACUUCAAGUUCUUGCUGAAUGGCGUUUCGACCUAGACAACAUUGCUGCUAAUGGGGUCGAUCUUCGUCCUGAAGUACAGGCUCAAGGCUGGGAAGGAUACUUCAAUAGAUUGCAUGGUCCAGUCUAUGAUAAACUUGUGAAGGAAUUCUGGAAGCAUGCUCAUUGCAACGAGUAUCAGGUGGUGUCUUUUGUUCUGGGAAAAAGGAUCAUCAUAUCAGAGAAGUCUUUUGCAAGACUUCUGGGUGCAGAUACAAGUCGUGGCUACAGAUUUCAGAUGCAAGAGUCCAAAGUCAAGACAAGUACCAAGGAGAAGGUCAACAGGGCCUUAUACUCUACAUGGAGACCGGGCAAAACUGAUUGCAAGACUAAGGAUCUUCAUCCUGACCUGAGAAUCUGGCACAAGAUCCUCCUGAACUACAUAAAUCAAAGACCAAAAGGAAGCUCUCCAUAUUACAUCAAUUUCACUCAGAAGGUGAUGCUUUUCUUCAUCAAGGAGCACAACAAAGUCUGUCUGCUUUACUUUCUCCUCUCCUAUCUGAAGGAGUGCAUCAAGAAGUCAAGGACUACUGCUUCACCAAAGUCUGCCAUCAAGUAAAUACCUUUUGGCAGAUUACUGUCGGACUUCUUCAUUGAGAGCAAGUUGAUAUCUGCUCUGACCAAAGCUGGGUGCAUAGAAGACCUAACAACAAUUGUUGGAGAUGUCUUCACUCCCACAUCACUGAAGAGAAUGGGCUUAGUGGAAACAAAAGUUGAGGUUAACCCUGCUACUUCAAAGUCAAGAGGAAAAGACUCCCUCUGAAGGACUACCCACUCUGGUCAAAGGCUGAUGAUCCAGAGGCUAUCAUGAUCUAUCUUUAUGAUCUGAAGCAACAAGGCUUUGUGAUUGACGUGGAUGAAUUCUUCAGAAAUCUUCCAGAGCCUCCGGAUUUUGAGUCUCCCAGAAAGAAGAAGACCAAGAGAAAGCAAGUGGAACCCUCUGAGACACAGGAUCCCUCUGAUGGUGAUGAUGAUGAUGAUGAUGAACCUCCACCUCAGAAGAAAGCAAAGAAGGUCAGAAUUGCAAAGCAAGUCAUUCAUCUGGAACCUGCAAUCUCUACCAGAGUCACCAGAUCUGCAGUCAGAGCUUCAAGUAAGUUUAUUGCUCUUUCUGAUGAUGAUGAUUUAAAUCUGAUUGAUGCAAUUUCUGCUACUUCCAACCCCGAACCCUCACAAAUUGAUCAACCUACAUCACACACUUCCCCACCUAGGGCUUCAUUCUUUCAACCCUCCAUUGAGGAAGAACCCCUCUGGAAAAUGCUUCAAACCCCUAAGUCCACUACACCAACCUCACCCAUUAUUCUUCCAUACAAUCCACAAACCUCUGAACCAAUGGUUUCUGAGACACAAGCUCAAGAGAUACCAAACCCUGAAAAAUCCAACUUUGAGCCUCAACCCUCUGAUCACUCAAAUCAGGAACCCUCUGAUAGAGAAAUUCUCUCUCCUGCUCCCUCUGUUUCCUUUCCAACAAAUGUUCCAUUUUCCUCUCCUUCAAAUAAAUCUGAAGCUUCUCGCCAAUUCUUUCAACUUGCCAGAGAAAGAGUUUCAGAACUUCCUGAACAUUUCUUAACUGUUCCUAGUCCAAACCGCUACUCUGGACCAAGGCCAGAACCUCAGGAAGCACCUGAUUUUCCAAUCCAUGUUGUCCCUCUGUCUUCAGUAGCACCACCUCGUCCUCUUUCUCCUCCACCUCAAAAUGAAAACUCUGUCUCUGACUAAUCUCCAAAUCCUGAGACUGAAGUUUCUCAUCAAAACCCUGAGACCAAUCACUCUGAACCCCAAACUGUGCAAAUUGGUUCUCCUCAUGGUGUUUCGAAGCUACAAGUUGCAAUCAUCCCUCUUCAUCUGAAACCCAUCUUUCUAUUGUUCCCUAUACCCAAGUCAGACCAAACACCCUACUUGAUUGCAUCAACUUUUUUAAUCAUGAAGCAUCUUUAAGGGUUCGCAAUGUGCAAGGUCGCACUGACCUUAGUGAGAAACCAGACUUAGUUGCUGAAGACUGGGAUCGUCUUUACGCUUGGAUGCUUGACCAAGCGGCAGUGAUGCUGGGUUUCCUGACUACUGAAAGGGAUCAAAGAGUUGAAGCUGCCAGUCAGCGUUUCAGAAGAAGAGCAGCUCUGAAUGAACAACUGUUGAGAAAUCAACUUCAUGCUGCUAUUGAAGAAGUUAGAAAGAAGAAAGAACAAGAGGAAAAAGCUGCAAGGAUUGAAGUAGAACAACGUGAAGCUGCAAGGUUGCAAGCUUUGGAACAAGCAGCUAAAUUACAAGCUGAAGUUGAGGCACUAAGAAAUCUAUCACUUGGAAUCAUUCCAUUUACUGAUGUUGCCUCCACAUCUGCUAAAGUUCCUCACUCUGAUCAAGCUGGUCCGUCUGCUCAACCUCAGUCAGAUUCAAGACUUGAUCUAAUUGAACAAAGACUUGAUUCUCAUGAAGCUCUUCUUCAGAGUCUUAAAGAGAUGUGCACAGAACUUCUGAAGAGGACAUCCAAGCCUUAGUCUUUAGGAACUCUCUUUAUUCUGCUUUUCUACUAUGUUACUAUGUUUUUCGCGUUUAACUCUGGUUCUUCUAUUCAAUUAUCGUUUUUAUAUAUGCUUGCAUAAUUCUUGUUUAUCAUUACUUAAUUCUCACUCAUCUACUACUUCUUAUUCUUCUACAACUGUAGCUAAAAGACCUCCAAUGGCGGAGCGACACGUGUCCACUUUUGCUGAAUGUUGUUUUUUAUUUUUUUUUUCUCUUUGCCAGCUGUAAUACGACGUCGUUUCUCAGUUUAGGUUUAUUUCUCUUUAUCUCUCAUGAAUCUCUUUCUACCUGCUCCGCCGGAGCUGUCGUGUUUCUCCUCUCCCUUGCUACCAAAUCCGCCGUACCAUUCGUCACCUUCUGAUUUCCUGAUUUCUCUCCUUUGCGACUGUAGCAGCGUCACAUAUUCCCCGCGUUUCAGCUUCUUCACAUGGCUUUUCCGGCGUUGGCUAUCACGUCGCCCGUCAACUAUUACACCGAUUCAUUUGCUUAUAAAUGCUCACACAACCCUCACUCCAGCACCAUUCACACAACCCCUUGCUGCAGAAAUUGCAUUAACUAUGGGUCAAUCUGAUUAUUUGGUUGAUGUGAUUGCCUUGGUAGGUGUUUCUGAGGAGAAGCAGUAUCUGAAGAGUUCCAUAGUUACUAGGGUUAUACAGAUUGAACUAACAGAUGACAGAACACAGAAAGUGGAAGGCAAACAAGGAAAGUGUAAGUAGAAAUAGCACCACUCACAAAAAAUGGUAGUUGAUUUAACUGGUAGGUGAUUCUACUUUUCUAAAAUCUGUAUGAGUUGAUGUGAAGUAUGCUUUUGAAUUUAAAAUUAAUAAUUCUUCAGCACAUAGAGCCACUAGAGUGAUUUGAAUUUUGAAGUGUCUAUAAAUGAUGCUAACAUGCUGUGUUUGUUCAUUGACAACUGUCACUUUCCUACAAUUUUCUGGUUGCAAUUGGUAUGAACAAAAUGGUUUAUUCAUUCCCUUUAUUUCUAUCUGGCUGUGUUUUGCAUCAAAAUUUCAAAGUACAUGGGGUUUUAUGCAGAUUUAUUUGGUUUUAUAUUUUUUAUUGCUUCUUUCAGGUGUUUCAAAUUGUCAAAUUCCAAUUUCCUAUACUUCUCUCACUAAAUCACUAUGUUGUGAGCUGGUUCUCAUUGGCUCUGUUAACAUUGGUUUCUAUUAUAUGGCAAAGAUCGCAGUAACACCUUCAAUAGUUAUGCACUCAUGUAGAAUUUGUUCUGUAUAGGAAGAAAUUUUCUUGGCCCAAUGAAAAAUUGAAACAACUUGGAACAAUAGGUGAAUCCUCCACUGUUUGCAAAGAUGAUGGUUCAUCCAUUAAGCUAUUUGAAGUGUCAUUUCAAGUAUUGAAUCCAUUGCAGUACCUCUCCUUCCAUUGGAUCUAGCUUGACUAGCAAAAUCUUAUCAAAAUGUCUACCUAUAUGGAAGGAGCAACCUGCAUUUCACGUGUCACAUGUGUAUCUAGGUUUUCUAUUUUCAUUGACAUUUUGAUUUUUGAUAUAGCCAAAUGGCAUAGUGUAAUUAUUUUAUUUUUCAUUUGUAUUGUAGAUACUUUUCAUUGCAAUGGUAAUCUUUGGGUGACAACGGAACAAUAUGUCUUUCAAGCUUCUGCCUCAUU